GCUCUCUUAGCUCAGUAGGUAGAGCGCCACCAUGGUAAGGUGGAGGUCGCGGGUUCGAUUCCCGCAGUGAGCUCCA
rnacentral:tRNA from 1 species